rnacentral:rRNA from 1 species
UACGAAGGGGGCGAGCGUUGUUCGGAUUUACUGGGCGUAAAGGGCGCGCAGGCGGUCUUGAAAGUCAGGCGUGAAAGCCCCGGGCUUAACCUGGGAAUUGCGCUUGAUACUCUGAGACUGGAGUACGGGAGAGGAGAGUGGAAUUCCCAGUGUAGAGGUGAAAUUCGUAGAUAUUGGGAAGAACACCAGUGGCGAAGGCGGCUCACUGGCCCGGAACUGACGCUGAGGUGCGAAAGCGUGGGGAGCAAACAGG